GGCAGGGGGAGUGUUGGAACGUUGAAUUUGGUCAUGCAGCUGACGCUUUUCCCCUAACACUCCAAACAGAAUGGACAGAUGGCUGCCCCUGAGGAAGGGCUCAGGGCGAAGGAUUUGCUCCCGGACCGUGGGAAAGUCUUUGGCUGACUUCACCUGCUUAGGGAGCUGCGACCGGAUUAAAUACCAAUAAGAGAAAUGUACACUAACGUAGCAGCACGCAGAGAAAUGGACUUACCUCUAGGUUCUGUAGAGGAAGAGAGUGAGAAAUGACCAUGGGUGACUACUUACCCUUAAAGGCACACGAUCAACAAGCUACAGUCUUGUCCCAUCUCUGCAACUCCCGUAGGGACUCAGGAGAGGCAAAGGUCAAGAACCACGUGUCCUCCGAAACACCGUACAGCUGGCGAUGAAGUCAGCGUGCAUGCACCCAGCCGCCACAAGGUUGCUGGAGCGCAAUGGGACAAGGACAUCUCAGCUGUUCAAACCCUCCCCUAAUCCGGACUACGCUGGGCCAAUUGUGCACCUCCUCAUGGGCCUCCCGGUCACGGCUGGCUGCGACACAGCACGGGAUCGAACGUGCAUCUGUAGUGACGCCUCUAGCACUGUGAUGCAGUACCUUAGUCUGCUGCGCCACUCGGGAGGCCCCCUACUUUUAGACUUUUACUCAAGAAGUAUUUUACUGGGUGACUUUCACUUUUACGUGAGUCAUUUUUUAUUAAGGUAUCUUUACUUUUACUCAAGUAUGACAAUUGGGUACUUUUUCCACCACUGGAAAUGAUUCAAUUGAAAUAAAUUAAUUAGGCCCUCAUCUAUGAAUUUCACAUGACUAGAAAUACAGGUAUGCAUCUGUUGGUCACAGCUACCUUAAAAAAAAAAAGUAGGGACGUCGAUCAGA
rnacentral:lncRNA from 1 species